rnacentral:rRNA from 1 species
AUUGAACGCUGGCGGCAGGCCUAACACAUGCAAGUCGAACGAGUGGCGGACGGGUGAGUAAUGUCUGGGAAACUGCCUGAUGGAGGGGGAUAACUACUGGAAACGGUAGCUAAUACCGCAUACCAUCGGAUGUGCCCAGGUGGGAUUAGCUAGUUGGUGGGGUAACGGCUCACCAAGGCGACGAUCCGUAGCUGGUUUGAGAGGACGACCAGCCACACUGGGACUGAGACACGGCCCAGACUCCUACGGGAGGCAGCAGUGGGGAAUUUUGGGCAAUGGGGGAAACCCUGAUCCAGCCAUGCCGCGUGUGUGAAGAAGGCCUUCGGGUUGUAAAGUACUUUUGGCAGGGAAGCGGUACCUGCAGAAUAAGCACCGGCUAACUCCGUGCCAGCAGCCGCGGUAAUUC